rnacentral:ribozyme from 14 species
GCCCAACGCACUCCAAAUCAUAGGUGAACAUUGGGAAAAAAGAGAAAGAAAAAAGAAAGAAAGAAAAGAAAAGCAAUCAAUCUAGUCUUGUUCUGAUUGUGAUCACAUUU